GGGAGGGUUACCCCCAAAAAGGAAGUCAUAUCAAGAGGAAGCAGAAGGGAUGACAUUAAGCCAGCGUGACAGGCCCACGUCUGCCUGUCGCACCAGGGACUCAGCAACAACUGUCUCUCAAAACUCCAUUUGCACCCUUCCAACAAGCAGGUCCAGCCCCCCUGCUGAUGGCCACCUCCUUUGUUUGAUGAAGUCUGUGGUGAGCAUGCAGGCUGUAUCCUUGGGCUUAGAACUACUAGCUGGCAUACCACCAGCCCUCAGUAAAUAUUCACCGAGUGAGCAAAUGAGUUGGACAGCUCAAAUUCCUUCCUGCCCCAGAAGCUCCCGGUACAGGAGACAGGACAAACCUGUGUUGCUUCUCCAGCUCUGUCACCAGCUCAUCCCUGCGGCAGCGUUGGGGGGUGGGAUGGCCUGUAAACGUUUUGCUGAACUCUUAUUAAAUAUUUCCCCCUUUCCCG
ensembl:lncRNA